AUGGUAUCAGAGCCUCUAUCUCUUCCACAAACACAUCUAGCCAUGGCAGGUUCCUCCGCUCCGGCAGCCAUCUCCUUCGCCCAUGUUCAGAUCGCUGAGAAGCUAACCAGGGAGAACUACCUACCCUGGAAAGCUCAGGUCCUGCCACCGGUCCGAGGUGCCCUUCUCAUGGGUUUCCUUGACGGAUCGCGUGCAGCACCACCGGAGGAAAUCGAGGAGGCAAAGGCGGACAAGACCGUCGAGAAGGUAUGUAACCCAGCCUAUGCAGCAUGGGUGGCUCAAGACCAGCAGGUUUUGGGCUUUCUGCUCGGGUCUCUUUCCCGAGAGGUGUUGCUGCAGGUGAUGGAUCAUACGGAGAGCAGCAAGCUGUGGGCGGCGAUCCAGGCGAUGUUCGCCUCGCAGUCGCGCGCCCGCGUCAUCCAGCUCCGCACGCAGCUCACAAACUCGCGCAAGGGAGAUCUCUCUGCCACUGCGUACUUCACCAAGAUGAAGGGAAUCGCUGACAGGCUUGCUGCCGCGGGGAAGAAGAUGGACGACGACGAUCUGGUCUCGCAGAUCCUUUCGGGGCUUGAUGCAGACUACAACCCCUUCGUCUCGGCGCUCUCUGCCAAGGCGAACGAGCAGGCGAUCACCCUCGCCGAACUCUUCUCCGGGCUCCUGGUGGCCGAGUCACGUCUGGAGGCGCAGAACCCGGUGAGUCAGCAGCUGUCGGUCAAUCUCGUCGCCAAGGGUGGACGUGGCAGCGGCUAUCCUCAGGGUCGCAGCAACAGCAGCGGCAACGGUCGCGGUGGAGGAGGCGGGCGCUCCUCUGAUGACGGGCGUGGUGGCUCUGGUGGCUACCCCAACCAGCGCCAAGGCCAAGGGAACGGGGAAAAUUCUGUUGCGCGCACAGAGUAG
rnacentral:rRNA from 1 species